AUUAAACGCUGGCGGCAUGCCUUACACAUGCAAGUCGAACGGCAGCACGGGGGCAACCCUGGUGGCGAGUGGCGGACGGGUGAGUAAAGCAUCGGAACGUAUCCUGGAGUGGGGGAUAACGUAGCGAAAGUUACGCUAAUACCGCAUAUUCUGUGAGCAGGAAAGCAGGGGAUCGCAAGACCUUGCGCUCUGGGAGCGGCCGAUGUCGGAUUAGCUAGUUGGUGGGGUAAAGGCCUACCAAGGCGACGAUCCGUAGCGGGUCUGAGAGGAUGAUCCGCCACACUGGGACUGAGACACGGCCCAGACUCCUACGGGAGGCAGCAGUGGGGAAUUUUGGACAAUGGGCGGAAGCCUGAUCCAGCCAUGCCGCGUGAGUGAAGAAGGCCUCGGUUGGUUAAAGACGUCUUUCGGUCCGGGGGAAGGAAAUUGCACGGGUUAAGUACCCUGUGUAGAUGAC
rnacentral:rRNA from 1 species